rnacentral:lncRNA from 1 species
AAUAAUAAGCCAAAGCGAGCAAAAGAAUGUCGUUCCUUUAUUAUGCCAUGAAGAGAACUUGUUUAAUUUAUUUCAGUCGAAUGCAUGCCGAUCGUUCAUGCAUGUAGUGGCUAGGCGGAUAGAUUGGUGCAGUUCUUGUAGCACAUGCAUGUAAUGAGGUUGUGGCAACGACCGUUGUCGAAGCCCUCGGCCCUGCAGGGCCUGUUGCAGGAGCCUGCAAUGACGCAAACGGUUCCGUCCACUGCCUGCUCAGCUGCUUUUCGCAGCCAUGCGACCCCAUUUUUUCUGCAUUGAUCCACAGAUAAUACGAAUUAACCAUCAGCUAAACUAAUUUGGAUCAGAUUGAUCCGGAGUUGUGUGGGGCGAUGGUCUUCCUACCAGAUGACAGGAGAAGCAGCAUCACCA